rnacentral:rRNA from 1 species
CCUACGGGUGGCAGCAGUGGGGAAUAUUGCACAAUGGGGGAAACCCUGAUGCAGCGACGCCGCGUGAGUGAAGAAGUAUCUCGGUACGUAAAGCUCUAUCAGCAGGGAAGAAAAUGACGGUAUCUGACUAAGAAGCACCGGCUAACUACGUGCCAGCAGCCGCGGUAAUACGUAGGGUGCAAGCGUUACCCGGAUUUACUGGGGGUAAAGGGAGCGUAGGCGGGAGCACAAGUCUGGUGUGAAAUCCCGGGGCUUAACCCCAGAACUGCAUUGGAAACUGUGCGGCUGGAGUGCAGGAGGGGUAAGUGGAAUUCCUAGUGUAGCGGUGAAAUGCGUAGAGAUUAAGAGGAACACUCGUGGCGAAGGCGACUUACUGGACUGUAACUGACGUUGAGGCUCGAAAGCGUGGGGAGCAAACAGGAUUAGAUACCCGUGUAGUC